AGGCCACACCCGUUCCCAUCCCGAACACGGAAGUUAAGCUCUUUUGCGCCGAUGGUAGUUGGGGGUCUCCCCCUGUGAGAGUAGGACGUCGCUGGGC
rnacentral:rRNA from 1 species